rnacentral:rRNA from 1 species
CGGCAAGAGCUCAAAUUUGAAAUCUGGAGCCUUUGGCUUCCGAGUUGUAAUUUGAAGAGGAUGCUUCGGUUGUGGCCUGGGCCUAAGUUCCUUGGAACAGGACGUCACAGAGGGUGAGAAUCCCGUACGUGCCCGGUGGCCGCGCCCGUGUGAAGCUCUUUCGAC